CUGCUCCUUGUCAGCCCCACCCUGUAUGUCAGCUCUUGUGUUCAGUCUGUGUGGAAGCAUUGUUUGCAUGUACUGGUCACUAUGUCAAUCGGCCAAACCAAUGUUAUAUGGUUUGUUCGGUCCUGCUCUGUGUCUCACCGCAUUUCCUUUACACAGCCCUAGACUGGGUGGGAGGGCUGUGGUCUAAGGAAGAGACUCCCUUGUUCAUCGGAGGCGUUCCUCAGACUAUUUCAACGGAAGUUUGGUAACAAAGCACCCGACAAUUCAGGGUCUCCCAAGUCUUCUCCCCCCUGAACUCCCAAUGGACCUUCGUCCAUUAGGCUCUUCACCUUCCUUGGCAGGUACCCAGAACCUGAGCCGAUGAAACCCACCGUCCACGAUCCUGAGCCAAUGAAGCCUGGCGUCCACGACCCUUGGCCAGGGAGACAAGGCUUCCCGGAACCCGAGCCGAUCCCGUCCAGCGUCCCGGAACCCGAGCCGGACCCAUCCGGCGUUAUGGAAACCCGAGCAGUUCCGUCUGGCGUCCCGGAACCCAUGUCAGACCCAUCCAGCAAAUACGGUCUUGUUGAGGUCAGGUCGCCAGAGCCCCCUACCACGUACAGGAACACAAAGCCUUCUACGCCUCCGCCGAUGUCUGCACGGUCAGCGUUCCCUCCUAGGACCCUGUAAACUCCACCCAGUCUCCGCC
ensembl:lncRNA